rnacentral:rRNA from 1 species
AACGAACGCUGGCGGCGUGCUUAACACAUGCAAGUCGAACGAGAAAGGGGUAGCAAUACCCCCGGUAAAGUGGCGAACGGGUGAGUAACACGUGGGUAACCUGCCCUCGAGCUCGGAAUAACCCGCCGAAAGGUGGGCUAAUACCGGAUAAAGCUCUCGGUCCUUCGGGACUGGGGACCAAAGAUGGCCAAUGCUUGCAAGCUAUCACUUGAGGAGGGGCCCGCGGCCCAUUAGCUAGUUGGCGGGGUAAUGGCCCACCAAGGCGACGAUGGGUAGCCGGCCUGAGAGGGCGAUCGGCCACAUUGGAACUGAGACACGGUCCAGACUCCUACGGGAGGCAGCAGUGAGGAAUCUUGCGCAAUGGGCGAAAGCCUGACGCAGCAACGCCGCGUGGGUGAUGAAGGCCUUCGGGUCGUAAAACCCUGUCAGGUGGGAAGAAUCGGGUGGGGGCUAAUAUCCCCCGCCCCUGACUGUACCACCGGAGGAAGCCCCGGCUAACUCCGUGC